rnacentral:rRNA from 1 species
GGCUUAUUGGACAACCAUGGCAGUCACGGGUAACGGAGAAUUAGGGUUCGAUUCCGGAGAGGGAGCCUGAGAAACGGCUACCACAUCUACGGAAGGCAGCAGGAGCGAAAAUUGCCCAAUCCCGACACGGGGAGGCAGUGACGAGAAAUAACAACUCUUGGAAUUUCUAAGAAGCGUAAUGAGGAUAAUUUAAAAACCUUACCGAAAGCAAUUGGAGGGCAAGUCUGGUGCCAGCAGCCGCGGUAAUUCCAGCUCCAAUAGCGUAUAUUAAAGUUGUUGCAGUUAAAAAGCUCGUAGUUGGACUUCUGGGAGGGCGCCAAUGCCGGCCGUGUGCGUGUGCAGCGGCGCCCUUCCAUCCUUCUGUUAACGUUUCUCGGUAUUCACUUACUGGUUUCGGGCUCAGAUAUUUUACCUUGAGAAAAUUAGAGUGUUUCAGGCAGGCUUGCGCCGGAAUACAUUAGCAUGGAAUAAUAGAAUAGGACUUUUGUCUCCUUUGUUGGUUUGAGGGACCGAAGUAAUGAUUAAUAGGGAUAGUUGGGGGCAUUAGUAUUUAAUUGUCAGAGGUGAAAUUCUCGGAUUUGUUAAAGACUAACUUAUGCGAAAGCAUUUGCCAAGGAUGUUUUCA